CUUUUGUGCGAAGGGGCCAACAGAAGCAGAGGAAAAGGGGUGGCGUGGCGUGGCGCAGAGCAGAGGCAAGGAGAAAGAGGAGUAGAAGGGUGGAGGAAGCAGUUUGGGGUCCCGGUUCGUUGGCGGCGGCGGCGGGGCGGGGCGGGGAGGGGGGCGGCUUAGGCGGCGGGGGCGCGAGGGGGCCGGACGGGGGGCGCGGCUAGGCGGCCUUAGGCGGCGUUUCCGCCGCGGAAAGGUCGAGAGGGGGCUACAUGUCGUUGAAGUUCCUCGUCCGCUAGCUCAUGCACUUCGUCCGGCAGGUCCUCCUGUUACGGCCGUUGAUGCAGUUCCGCAAGGGCGAGAUGUACUUGCGCGAGCUCAUGAAGUUCUGGGUGGAGUUCAUGCUCUUCUUGGGGUUCUAGUUCCUCCGGUAGUGGCGGUUCAAGUGGCUCAUGGAGGCGGCGCGGCUCCUCUAGGCCCGGCAGGAGCUGCUCCCGCCGCCGCCGGGGGGGCCGCGCGGGUUGCCGCCGCUGCGGCGGCAGCGGUGGGCCGGGUUCUGGUUCCCCUUCCUGCCGCCUCCGCUGCCGCGGCCGCCCCUGCUGAGCCUCGUCAGGUUCGACUCCCGGCCGGAGUUGAGCCGGUAGUAGUGGCUCUUCGGGUUGUAGUUCACCUUGCUGCAGCGGCCCGAGCUCUCGCGGUUCGUCCGCGACGUCCUCCGGCAGUAUAACGGGCAGUUCAAGGGGGUCAAGAAGUGUCCGUUUUCCUCCGGUACCUCCCGAAAAGAAGACAUGCCAGGUGGUCCUUGUCCUUUCAGUAUAAACCGAUUUCGGCAACGUUGGCUCCGACUAAGCUGAAAGAAGUCAUAUAGAAGUAGGCUAGAACAAAGUUUUACCUACCCUCUCUCACUCUUUGACCAACGAUUAGAAAAGGUUUACCGAGCACUUUUACGGGGAAGUUAGUAGAAGUAACUACUUUAACUAAGAAAUACGCCAUGUGCACCCCUUCCGUUACUUUCACUUCGUAGAUCCUCUUAUUUUUGUCUUGAAGAACAUGUCUACGUCCCACAACCGGUAUUACUACUAUUUCAAGAACAAGAACGACGCUGUUUAUGCGGUAUACGAGACCUGGUCCGACACGCCGCUGCCAAACUGUUCGCAUAAAUGUAAGGAGAUGGACUGCGCUUUCGAUCCGUCGUAUACAAAUUCCAUGUAGAACCCCUAUGCGGCGUGUCGAAUAGCCUUUCACUAAAACUCCAGAACCCAGCAGCAUGUCUUCCCAAGAGACCAAGGCUACAACGACAGACACACUUUCUACACAACAAGCUCGGACACGCGUUUUGUGUCCUACGAUACAUGAAGAAGUUCUGUCUACCACUGUACACCUACGGGACACCUAGCUUCGUUGGUCCACGACACGUCUGGUGCUACGUCCUCGAACGUAGGUUUCCGGAACGGAGUGUCUAAGAAGGUGGGGGCUAGAGCUUCUUACUAAAGCUCUUCCAGGAACGCUCCGUCUCUGGUUGGCAACCGUUCUUCCUGGACCUUCACGUGCUCUUCAAGUGGUUCCUCAAGCCACUCCUCCCAACUCACCAUACGGCGGCACUCUUGCGAGAGCUGGGUACGUGUCGGCGUGGUGUCUUUACAUAUAACAAAUGUUGAAACUAAACAACGCGAACCCUGAAUCUAAGUGUCUAGACAUGUGAGACCAUCGGGCUGCUGCCGUCGGAACAAUACGGCCCGAUAGUAACACGGAGACAACAGUUGAGAUAAAGUAAAAAUGUGACAGUACGAACCUUAAAUUACGUUCACAUAAUUCCUUAUUACUACUAAUAACUCGACCCAUCAGGAACACCACGUCGAACAUAUCAAGAUUUUAAAAGACCAUAGAUAAAAUCUAAGUAAAAGAAAAGAAAAGAAAAACAUCACAAAUAAUCUAGGAUAUAAAAACAAAAACAAGAUUGAUUUAAAAGAAGAAAAAAGGAAGUAAACCACGUUACUCUGGACGUCGUACAUUCAAGCUGAACUGUUCACUUUAGACGGAACACGCCUAAUCCUAAUCUAUUUUUAUUGUGUAUUUACACUAUCCUUAUGUUCACGUUUUGUUUACCGACCUUUUGUAACCUCUAAAGUUCGCUAAAACUCCAGAACCCAACAGCCUACCCCCAAAAGACCAAGGUUGUAACUACAGAGACAUUCAUGCAAACGUUUUGGUACUUUAAACAGACAUGUUACAGUUUACACAAAUGGGAGUAGUUCUAUACAUACUAUUACA
rnacentral:rRNA from 1 species